CCCUCCGAGGGGUGCUGCAGCGGGUUUGAUUGCCAUUCCCCCGUCAGGCUCGGAGCCGCAACCGUUUCAACGGCACCCAUUCAUU
rnacentral:ncRNA from 2 species